GCUGGAGAUUCCUGCCUACCUGAGGCCUCUUGAAGAGCUCGUCCUGGCCCAGCUCACCCCUGGCUUGUAACAGCACCGCUGGCAUUACGGCGAGUCAAACCCCGGCAAUAAAGGAGAAUUACAGCCAACGCAGGCGCACGCUUGGACCUGGGGGCUGUGGUGAAGUGCUGAAGUGUUUUCACAGUGAAGCUAUAGAUCACAGCAACGUUUGGGCCGGGUCACCUCCAGCGCAUCCCCAGGAGCCAGCAGGGACCCCCACGACCUGCAGCCACUCAUUAAAAAGUAAUCACCUCGUACCAGGAGGAUAUGAACAGCCCAAGGUCAGAUCCAUAACUGCGUUCUUUCUGCAGCGCGUACCUGGAGCGCGCGGCCAACACGGUGACCGCCGGGAGCUGAGCGCUGCCCCACUGCUGUGCUCGGGCAGCACUUGGGUCACCCUAUGGGGACACCGCUCUCCAUCAACUCCAAGAACCCACAGCACUGAAGGUGUUCACCAGUUAUUUUCACUUUGCGGAUUUAUGAUUUUCAUCUUGCUGCUACGUCACAGCGUGAAGCUGCCAAGUGCAAGAUAAAACCGUAAGACACAGGCAAACAGCAUUGCCACACACAGACCCAGCAGGACAAGGAGCAGAGCUGGGUGCAACCCCACCGCUGGGAACGUCCCCUCGCCACCGCAGACAAUGCCAGCCCACAGCUGAUGCCGUCGCUUUGGGAACGCGGAGGGAGAUUAAUGACAGCGAGCAGCUGAGAGCCACCGAGCAGGGGAUGGGGAGCGGGCUGCGAUGUCCCUGCUGCCACGAGCCCCGUCCCCGCUCCGCGCCGCCGCACCUCUCCUCUAUUUACACAGCAAAUUCUUUGUCGGGGAUGGCCUCCUCUGAUGAGUUUGGCCGGGGCAGGAGAAAGGGGCACUUAUUCCGCUAUUAUUCAGCCUUUUUCUUUUUCUUUUUCUUUUUUUUUUUUUUUGUGGACAAGACAAGUGUGGGUUAAAGUGCAAUUUGUCUUGACGUUAGUUUUCACUUUCUUGGAGCGGGGGGUGGGGGGGGAAAUAGAGAAAAGUGGCUCUUUGGAAGGAAAACACCGCAGCCAGGAGACGUCGCUGCCUGCAAACGGAGCUGGAAAUGGGGGAACCUGGACCAGGGCAUGGAGUGAGGGGCACAUCUGCGAUGUAAACAGCGAGGGCAUUGCUGUAAUUAAAUACAUCUGCCUAUUUAUUUUUUUUUUU